rnacentral:misc_RNA from 1 species
GGAGGGGGUUUGAAUCUUGUUCCACCUCAGAAUGUGAUGAGCUAUUCUAUCUUUAACUUUCGCUGCUCAGAAACCUAUAGGAAUGGAUGUUUUUCCCCGUCUUCCCGGACCAAUUUACCUAUUUGGAAUUCUUCAGCUACCACCAUAUUAGUCUUGCUUUUGCCAAAAAAUCCGUCCUCACUCUACUGUUUUAUCGACUUUUGCUGCAAAGAUAUUAGUAGAGACAGUUGUUUGCUUG